rnacentral:lncRNA from 1 species
AGGCUCCCUACGGCGGCCUGCUGGCCCGUCAUGGGGACGGGUAAGACGGUGAUGAGCUUGACGCGCAUCGCAGCCAAUCUGCCCUCGCCGUACGAGUGGUUCGGAACAACUCUAGUUGUCGUGCCCAAUUACACCAUGGCCUUGCAGUGGAAAGAGAGGCGCACAAGCACUGCAGGAGCUUCGUCGGCGACUCGUGGGUCACUUCAACCGCCUUGAGAUGGCGCGAUGGGGACUGAGCAAGCGAUUCAAAGUUUUGCUCGUGACCUAUAUGACCUCCCUUCAGCUUCCCAGCGCCCAGAGGUUCAACAAGCUGAAGAAUGACUAUGUCAAUGACGACCGGGGCUUCAACGAGGCUGUGAAUAGGGAGUCAGGAUGGCUUUUCAUGAGGACAUGGUACCGCGUCAUACUCGACGAAGGACACAAUAAAGAAUUACGAAACUCAGAGUACGUUGAUUCGUGGACCAAAUAUGGCGAGGACCCCGAGCCGGACACGGAGAAAACGAGAGAGCCGGAGAGGAGAGAAGAGGAAAAGAGCGAGGGGGAAAUGGGCUGACGGAAUUCGUUUUUUUUCCGCAAACAGCACACGAGCCUGCCUUGCGCUAUCGAGAAAAUACCGAUGGCUGCUCACUGGCACUCCCUUGUCAAACCAGCCGAUGAGUUCUUUCCGUACCUCAAGUUUCUCGGCUUUCCUUUGAUGACGCGAGACGCCUUCAUCAAGGCUUACAUCCCGGAGCAAGUCCCAGCCGAGGCCGUCUGACAGCGCACGGGAGCUGACGAGCCGGCAUGAACAGAGGAAGCCGAACAGCAGUUUUGACGACCUCGUGAGCACGAUCAUGUAUCGUCGCGCGGCCGAGGCCAAGCUCAUGGGAGUUCUAUUAUCGUGCUCAAAGGUACCAAGGAGACGGAAAUAUGGAUUCCGCUCUCCAAGGAGGAGAGAAUGGUGGGGAUGUAAGAGACAACCGGAUUCCGAUGAAAAGACGUGGUGUUAGGUGCUGACCGACGAUGUCCCUUACUCGUGCACAUACACACACACAUAUAUAUAUACACAAACAGCGAUCCUCGAGUACUAUGAAGACAAGAUACGAAAGGCCAAGGCCGAAGUCGAGACGCGGACGGCGAGAGCGAUGGCGAAGUCAAGAAAAAGGAGCGGCACGAGAACUUGGCUCGGUUGGGUCGACUGCGGCAGCUCAGUUCGCACAUGUUCAACCUGAGGCGUUGUUCCGAGGGAUUUUGAGCCACAAGACUUGCAGAAGCUGCAGACGACGUUUUCCGAACGAGGGAACGAAGACCCAUCAGCGUGCUCGACCAGAUCCUGAACAGCAGCGAGGGCGAAGAAGGAAACCCUCUGGCAGGAUUCGAGCCAGGCAUCGAGUUCCUGCGACGCGGAACGUCGACCAGCCGUUUUGGAGGCGUCUUCGCCUGGGGCGAGCUCUUGAGGCUGCUCGAGAGCGAGCAAGACGUGAUGAGGCGACCGUGCGGCGGCGGAAGCUGUAUCGAAGACGACAAGACCUUGUGGACGCGAUUCUUCGCCUG